rnacentral:rRNA from 1 species
UACGAAGGGGGCUAGCGUUGUUCGGAAUCACGGGGCGUAAAGCGCACGUAGACGGACUGAUAAGUCGGGGGUGAAAUCCCGGGGCUCAACCCCGGAACUGCCUUCGAUACUGUCAGUCUCGAGUCCGAGAGAGGUGAGUGGAAUUCCUAGUGUAGAGGUGAAAUUCGUAGAUAUUAGGAAGAACACCAGUGGCGAAGGCGGCUCACUGGCUCGGUACUGACGCUGAGGUGCGAAAGCGUGGGGAGCAAACAGG